UUCCCACAUAAAUGUGCUACAAUAUGCAGAUGAUCUGCUUUUUUAUUCCGUAAAUAAAUCUAUAGAUAUCGCUUGCAAUUUCAUGUCUAAUUCACUUAAUAGUUUAAAUGUGUGGUUGGUUAAAAAUGACUUAAAUUUAUCCGUAUCCAAAAGUUCAAUAGUCGUAUUUUCUAAAAAACGUACAACUCCUAUCAUAAAUGUGACCUUCAAUGGUCAAUCUUUGCCAUAUAAAACAAAAAUUAAAUUUUUAGGAGUUAUAUUAGAUUCAAAAUUGUCUGGACUUGCCCAUUAUGAACAUAUUGAUAUGAAAUGUGCACAGCUACUUAAUAUCAUGAAAUGCCUCUCAGGUGUAUGGUGGGGUGCUCAUCCGUUUUCUAUGAAACUUGUGUAUAACGCUCUUCUCCGGAUAUAAGAUAUGAUAUAGGUGUCGGUAAACAAGAUAUUCUGGAGACAAAUAUUCGUUUCAUGAGUAGCGUUGAGGAACAAAAUUGGAGUGGAUGGGAUUAUAUUUUUACAGAUGCCUCUAAAAUCUCUAUUGAUGAUUGUGUUGGAGUCGGUCUAGUUCAUUGGCAACAUAAAAUAAUACAAAAGAUUAAACUUCCUCCUGAA